CUGCAAACAUCGCAUUGAACGGGGUGUAACUCAGCAGUGGUAUUAGAACUAGGUUCUAGGAAGCGUGAUUAGGACUUAAGGAAUGAUUACCACGUUUUUAAUCUGAUUUUUAAAGAAAUUAUGCUUGCUGAAUUUUCUGUGUGCUGAAAUUUCUGGUUGCUGAAAUUUUCAGCAUGCAGAUUUUUAUUUGCUAUGAUCUUGCAAAUUGUUUUAGAAUUGCAAUUAGAUUAUAAUGUUUUAAAUCAAGUAAUGCAUGAUCUAAAAUCCAGAGAAUAGCAUAAUAGGUUUAAAGUUUCAGAUCUGAAAAUAUAUAUGAGAUGCAUGUGGUAAUCAUAAUGUUCAUACUUGUUUAAGGUUAUGUUUAAAACAAUGUAUGCAUGAGAUGUAUGUAUUAGUUAAACAAAAUUUAUUUGCAUGAGAUGUAAGUAAAAUCCUUAAACAAUAGGACAUUUACAUAAGAUGUAAACUGAAACAAUUAUGUCAUUUACAUAAGAUGUAAUUACAUAAUAUAUGAAAGGGUAUUCAUAAUUACAUAGGAUGUAAACCUGAACCAAUGUUACUGUAACAACCCAGGAUCUCAUCCAAAAUGGCUAGCCGGAAGGUAUUAUUUGGAUUCCUUGAUCCUGUAUAAGUA
rnacentral:lncRNA from 1 species